GGGCAGAGAAGGGCUUGGAAUCAUGAAUGAAAAUGGAGAAAGACUAGCUGACUUUUGCUCAACAAAUGGGCUUGUUAUUGGAGGUACCUUGUUCAAACACAAAGGCAUACACAAAAUAACAUGGAACUCGCCAAACAACCGUGACAAAAAUCAGAUAGACCAUGUUAUAAUAAACGGCAAAUGGAGAAGAUCACUUCUUGAUACAAGAUCAUAUAGGGGAGCUGAUGUAUAUAGU
rnacentral:lncRNA from 1 species